UUGUUGCCAAGGCGGAAUUACUGGAGAAUCAGGGGAGCUGUAACUAACAUAAUAGUCAUCAUCAUCAUCUUCACCUUUCUCAGGAUCAUUUGCAGAAGCAACUGGUGGCAGUGUCUGACUUUCACUUACAGUUCGACUACAUCCUGUGGUUAGCGCUUGUAAAGCAAUCUGAGAAGUAUCAACAUCUUCCUUGCUGCACGACAAGUCUCAAAUUUGGACAAGUAACAGCAACACAGCAUUAAUGACUAACACAUGAAUAAGCCAAGUGGGCCUCUGCAGUCCUAGCCAACCUCCUCUGCUUCUGACUGAAUGGCUGAAAAGAACUGCCUCUUCUUGCAACUGGUUAGGUAAAUGGAAUCAAGACACAGGUGGGUAGGACCCAAAGUCAACACUUAAACCACAUGGAUUAAGUCAUAUUCUCCAACUUAGCCCCUAUCGGUUAUAUUCUACCUUGGUGAUGCAAGUAGUACAGAAUACCUACUUUACUGGUUAAUAAAUAAACCAAUACUGAUUCCUUUGCAUUUUGCUAUCGGCUGUGUGUGUGUGUGUGUGUGUGCGCGCGCGUGUGUGUGUGUGUAUCCGUCUACUGCUUCUCUGGAGAUUCUUUAAAAAAAAAAAAAAAAAGGAGGAAUAAGAGGAACUGAAGUCCAUCUUGCACCCUAAUAACUAUACAAAC